UGCAAGAUGAAAAGAGUUCUGGAGAUUGAUUGUACAACAAUGAAUAUGCUUAACACUGAUCAACUGUACACUUAAACAUGGUUGAGAUGGUAAAUUUGAUAUUAUGUGUAUUUUACCACAAUUUUUUUUAAAAAAUGUUGAUUAGAUGUAGAGCUGAGAAAACCACUUGCCUUCUGUACUAGUGACUAGGUGGCGGCAGGACAAAGGUGAGGAAGCUGCAUAGGGCAAGAGAACCCUGAAACAUAUUGUGUUUCUUGAAAGGCAGUGAAUUCCAAAUUCCAAUGAUGUUCCAAAAGCGGGGGGAGUGGAAAAUAAGAGAGAAAUUCCAGGAAUAGACCACACCUAGUUAGUUAUCAGCCUUUUGGGGAGCCCCUGCCAGACGUCCUUUGGCAAAAUGCCCUGCUGAGCGCCUGAGAAGAUCACACUUGAGCUUGGAUCAGCUGUCAUUUUCCUUCACCAAGAAGAGUUCUACUUUCUGAGCUCUGUGCAGUCAAUGCCUGUUCCUUUUCAUCCUCCGCUUAAGAGAGGCUCAGGCAGACACGGUUCUUGGGAAGGAGAUCCUGUGUUCCACCAGGCAGUCAGCCAGUCAGAAAGUCAUUCCACAAAGGUUUGCUGCUGCUCUCUGAAGCUUGCCUCUGAAUUUCCCUCAAGGAGCUCCACUUAGCAACCAUGUCCUUGGCAAGUGUUGACUCUAGUUUCAAAGUUUUCUACUUUGAAUAAAAAGUCUUUGAUUUUUUUCCUUCCGCUCCCU
rnacentral:lncRNA from 1 species